CCCUCCGCCUCACGACUCUUCCUGUUCCCUCUUUACCUAGACAAACACAUCGAGGUCAGUGAGUCUCAGGCAGUCACUUGAACAUCCACUAAUAGCUGUUAUUUAAGCGUGUGUUAAGAGAUUUUUACUGUGUGUGUGUAUGUUAGUCCUUAACCCUUUAAGAAGCAUCCUGUUUGUUUUCCAUCAGAUUGUCAAAGUCGUAUGUAAUUCUUAGUAUGGUUUAGGAAGUACACCAAAUAGUCUCUGUGCUUCUGUGAGAGCAAGCUAUUUUAGUGAUUUUUCAAUGACCAAUGACGUAUCCUGUGUUUGUGGAUUAUAAUGUUGGAAAAUUGCUGAAAAUAGUUUGCAUAUGUUGAGCCUUCAGUUUUUUUUUUUUUACUUUUCUUUUGGCCCAAAGACAAUUAAUUGCCUCCAAGUUCUAUUGUUUCCCCACACUUCUCUCCUUUUGCUUUGAUUUAUUUUUUCCGUUUCACCUUGCUCAUGUCAUCUUUCUCCCUGUGCUUUCCUUCUGUUGAGAUGACAACUCCUAUUCUUUCAGUUCUUUUCUUCCCCUCCUCCUCUUCUCACAGAAACCCGGCAUGUUCUUUCCCCUCCUCACCCCCCCUCCCCCCUUACAAAAAACCGUAGCAAA